ACUUAAAUUGAAGAGUUUGAUCAUGGCUCAGAUUGAACGCUGGCGGCAGGCCUAACACAUGCAAGUCGAGCGGUAGCACAGAGAGCUUGCUCUCGGGUGACGAGCGGCGGACGGGUGAGUAAUGUCUGGGAAACUGCCUGAUGGAGGGGGAUAACUACUGGAAACGGUAGCUAAUACCGCAUAAUGUCGCAAGACCAAAGUGGGGGACCUUCGGGCCUCAUGCCAUCAGAUGUGCCCAGAUGGGAUUAGCUAGUAGGUGGGGUAACGGCUCACCUAGGCGACGAUCCCUAGCUGGUCUGAGAGGAUGACCAGCCACACUGGAACUGAGACACGGUCCAGACUCCUACGGGAGGCAGCAGUGGGGAAUAUUGCACAAUGGGCGCAAGCCUGAUGCAGCCAUGCCGCGUGUGUGAAGAAGGCCUUCGGGUUGUAAAGCACUUUCAGCGGGGAGGAAGGCGUUAAGGUUAAUAACCUUGGCGAUUGACGUUACCCGCAGAAGAAGCACCGGCUAACUCCGUGCCAGCAGCCGCGGUAAUACGGAGGGUGCAAGCGUUAAUCGGAAUUACUGGGCGUAAAGCGCACGCAGGCGGUCUGUCAAGUCGGAUGUGAAAUCCCCGGGCUCAACCUGGGAACUGCAUUCGAAACUGGCAGGCUAGAGUCUUGUAGAGGGGGGUAGAAUUCCAGGUGUAGCGGUGAAAUGCGUAGAGAUCUGGAGGAAUACCGGUGGCGAAGGCGGCCCCCUGGACAAAGACUGACGCUCAGGUGCGAAAGCGUGGGGAGCAAACAGGAUUAGAUACCCUGGUAGUCCACGCCGUAAACGAUGUCGAUUUGGAGGUUGUGCCCUUGAGGCGUGGCUUCCGGAGCUAACGCGUUAAAUCGACCGCCUGGGGAGUACGGCCGCAAGGUUAAAACUCAAAUGAAUUGACGGGGGCCCGCACAAGCGGUGGAGCAUGUGGUUUAAUUCGAUGCAACGCGAAGAACCUUACCUGGUCUUGACAUCCACAGAACUUAGCAGAGAUGCUUUGGUGCCUUCGGGAACUGUGAGACAGGUGCUGCAUGGCUGUCGUCAGCUCGUGUUGUGAAAUGUUGGGUUAAGUCCCGCAACGAGCGCAACCCUUAUCCUUUGUUGCCAGCGGUCCGGCCGGGAACUCAAAGGAGACUGCCAGUGAUAAACUGGAGGAAGGUGGGGAUGACGUCAAGUCAUCAUGGCCCUUACGACCAGGGCUACACACGUGCUACAAUGGCAUAUACAAAGAGAAGCGACCUCGCGAGAGCAAGCGGACCUCAUAAAGUAUGUCGUAGUCCGGAUUGGAGUCUGCAACUCGACUCCAUGAAGUCGGAAUCGCUAGUAAUCGUAGAUCAGAAUGCUACGGUGAAUACGUUCCCGGGCCUUGUACACACCGCCCGUCACACCAUGGGAGUGGGUUGCAAAAGAAGUAGGUAGCUUAACCUUCGGGAGGGCGCUUACCACUUUGUGAUUCAUGACUGGGGUGAAGUCGUAACAAGGUAACCGUAGGGGAACCUGCGGUUGGAUCACCUCCUUACCUUAAAGAA
rnacentral:rRNA from 6 species